rnacentral:rRNA from 1 species
GACGAACGCUGGCGGCGUGCUUAACACAUGCAAGUCGAACGGUGAAGCGAGUGCUUGCACUCGUGGAUCAGUGGCGAACGGGUGAGUAACACGUGAGUAACCUGCCCAUCACUCUGGGAUAAGCACUGGAAACGGUGUCUAAUACUGGAUACGACCAACCCUUGCAUGGGGUGUUGGUGGAAAGAUUUAUCGGUGAUGGAUGGACUCGCGGCCUAUCAGCUUGUUGGCGGGGUAAUGGCCCACCAAGGCGACGACGGGUAGCCGGCCUGAGAGGGUGACCGGCCACACUGGGACUGAGACACGGCCCAGAGUCCUACGGGAGGCAGCGGUGGGGAAUAUUGCACAAUGGGCGAAAGCCUGAUGCAGCGACGCCGCGUGAGGGAUGACGGCCUUCGGGUUGUAAACCUCUUUCAGCAGGGAAGAAGCGAAAGUGACGGUACCUGCAGAAGAAGCACCGGCUAACUACGUG